rnacentral:rRNA from 1 species
CUAAAAUGCACAGGUCGUGAGUUCGAUGAGUAGGGCGGGACACGUGACAUCCUGUCUGAAUAUGGGGGGACCAUCCUCCAAGGCUAAAUACUCCUGACUGACCGAUAGUGAACCAGUACCGUGAGGGAAAGGCGAAAAGAACCCCGGCGAGGGGAGUGAAAUAGAACCUGAAACCGUGUACGUACAAGCAGUGGGAGCACCUUCGUGGUGUGACUGCGUACCUUUUGUAUAAUGGGUCAGCGACUUAUAUUUUGUAGCAAGGUUAACCGUAUAGGGGAGCCGUAGGGAAACCGAGUCUUAACUGGGCGAUUAGUUGCAAGGUAUAGACCCGAAACCCGGUGAUCUAGCCAUGGGCAGGUUGAAGGUUGGGUAACACUAACUGGAGGACCGAACCGACUAAUGUUGAAAAAUUAGCGGAUGACUUGUGGCUGGGGGUGAAAGGCCAAUCAAACCGGGAGAUAGCUGGUUCUCCCCGAAAGCUAUUUAGGUAGCGCCUCGUGAACUCAUCUUCGGGGGUAGAGCACUGUUUCGGCUAGGGGGCCAUCCCGGCUUACCAAACCGAUGCAAACUCCGAAUACCGAAGAAUGUUAUCACGGGAGACACACGGCGGGUGCUAACGUCCGUCGUGAAGAGGGAAACAACCCAGACCGCCAGCUAAGGUCCCAAAGUCAUGGUUAAGUGGGAAACGAUGUGGGAA